UACGGAGGGUGCAAGCGUUAAUCGGAAUUACUGGGCGUAAAGCGCGCGUAGGCGGCUGGAUAAGUCGAUUGUGAAAGCCCCGGGCUCAACCUGGGAAUUGCAGUCGAGACUGUUCGGCUAGAGUGUGGGAGAGGGUGGUGGAAUUCCCGGUGUAGCGGUGAAAUGCGUAGAUAUCAUGAGGAAUACCAGAGGCGAAGGCGGCUACCUGGACAAUUGCUGACGCUCAGGCACGAAAGCGUGGGGAGCAAAAGGG
rnacentral:rRNA from 1 species